GCCGGGCAUGGUGGCUCGUGCCUGUAAUCCCAGCACUUUGGGAGGCUGAGGUGGGUGGAUCACCUGAGGUCAGGAGUUUGAGACCAGCCUGACCAACAUGGUGAAACCCUGUCUCUA
rnacentral:SRP_RNA from 1 species